UAUUCUUUCUUCUUUUCAAAUUGUAGCCUGUCUAAUAAAUGAGUAAUGGUACCUCACUAGGGCUCCAGUCUGUAUUUUCCUAAUGACUAAAAAUGUUCAGCAUAUUUUCAUGUCUUCUCAGGCAUGGGUAUAUUGUUGGUAAACUCUUUGCUCCAGUCUUUUGCCCAUUUAAAGAAAAAAGUGUUGUUUUCUUAUUGUGUUUCAGGAGUUCUGUAUACAGGAUUCACAUCUAUGUUUUGCAAAUAUUUUCUUGCAAUUCAUGGCUUGUCAUUUCAUUUUCUUCAUAGCAUCUUCCAAAGAGCAGGAGUCCUUAGUGUUGCUGUUUUUCCAGCACUGGGGAUUGAGACCGGGUGCCGGACCACUGCGCUUCUUCCCCAGCAUUCGUUGUUGUUCACUCUUAAUGGAACCUCAUGUCCUGUGUGAGGAACAGUUUCAUUGCUUUCUUCCCCAUCUGUGUGUCUUUAUUGCUUUUUCUUUGAGCUUUGACUAGGAAUGAUAGGAGUAGGCAUCUCUGCCAUGGGAUUCCUUUAGUAUGGCAAUCACUUAACUAAAGGCUCUUUCAGGAAGACUGGUGGGCAGCAUCAGUGGGGGAGGGGAAGCUGAAGACCCCGAGACAGCUGAACAGACAGAGGAACCUGUCUGCUCAUCACCUCCCAUCCUUUUAGUCACCAGCCCACCACUGCCAUAUGUGCUUCCCUCCCACCUGUGACUCCUGUGCUUGGCCCUUAUUCCUCAGCCCUGUGGUCUGCCUGUCUUCUCCUCUCUCCAGCUUCUAGUAUCACCAUUGAGUUUGCCUGGCAGAUUUUACCCUUCCCCCAUCCUGUGGUUCUUCCAGCCCCAGGUCCGGCCAUACGCCAUUGCCCUUUCUCAUCUGCUCAGAGUGAGGCCCUCCAAGUCAAGGGUCCCCAAGUCUCAAGGAACCUAAAUGCAGUCUGCACUCUGGGAUUCUUCAGACAGGGCUCCUUUCCAUUACCGCAGCACCUAUUUCAGGCACUGAUCCCAUGCUCCAACUUUUACUCCUACCAUACUCCAUUCCAUUACUACAACUCCUCCUGGAGUCACUUGUUUGGUGGUUGGUGGCAAAGAGUCUGGUGAAGACCACAUAAGUUCAACUCCCAGCUGUAGAACUGACCAGCAGGGAGACCUUGGGUAUGCUACUUAGCCCCUGGUCACUCAAUUUCCCUAGGUGUAAAACAGGGAAUUGUGGGUUAAUUCAUGUAAACCACAUAGAACAGUGGCUGGUACCAAGAAGUGCCCUAUGUGCUGCUGUUACUAUUACUACCAUUCCUUCCCAUGGUCAUCUACACAUGUCUGUGCCUCUUCUUAAAAGCCAUACAAAUCCCACCCUUAGCACCCCAGGCCUCCACUCCACCUGUUAUACCUUCUGGGCCUUAUUUCCUGAAAGAGUUGACCUUGUUCACUAGCUCACCCUUCACUUCCUUGCCCAGGUCUGCCCAGCCCUUGCUGUCAGGAUGAUGCUCUCAUUAAUGGCCAAAGCCAGCAGACAUCUUCAGACUACUCUUUCAGGAUUGGACACAGCCUCUGAAACCAGAAGUAGCUGUCUCAGCUCUUAACUCUCUGGGCUUCUCCUCUUCACGUGCCUGGGUGCUGUGAGCUGGGUUGCCUAGAUGGUUCCCAUGAUACCCUCUCUAUGCUCUACCCUGUCCACUCCCCAUGGUGCUCAGGGCCAUGUGUUGCAGCUGCCCUCACCACUGAAAGUAGGCUGGCCAUGCUGUUUGCAGGGUGCUUUCCAUCCCCAGUGCAGUGACUGGGUUUUAUUUUUUGCUACUUGGUAAUGAACCCUGGGGCACUUUACCACUGAGCUACAUCCCCAGUCCCUGCUACAUUUUAUUGUAAAUCAGGGUCUCGCCAAUUUGCUGAGGCUGGUCUCAAACCUGCCUCAGUGUCCCAAUUCACUGGGAUUACAGGUGUGUGCCACCAUGCCUGGUUGGACAGAAGCAUUUUUGAUGCCCUGAAAUAUUUCUGAUGGGGGUGCAUCUCAGUGGUAGAGUGUGUGCUUAGCAUGUGCAAGGCCCUGAAUUCUUCAAUCACCAGCACACAAAGAGAAGACAUCUGAAUCAAUGAGUGAAGCCACAAACAGAAGAAUCAACAUUUGGGGAUAGAAGGAAAGAGAGAAAGGAACAGAGAGAAGCCUGGUGCCCUGAUCCCCCAGGAUAAGGGGAGAAGGAAAGGCAGCAGGAAGUUGGUCAGAUGAUGGGGCAAGAAGAAGAUGCUGCUGGAUUUUGGUCCUGUGGAGUGUGAGGGUGUUUGAGACACACAAUUGGAGCAAGAGCCCCAGGUGUGGAGCCAGUGGGAGAGGCUGGUCUGGGUGCCUCAGAGCUGUUGGAUUCCAGUUGUGUGUGAUAGUGUUCCAUGUUGGGAGAGGAAGGUAUUCAAAUUUACUGCUAAGUUCUUAGAAAUUUAUUAAUUAUCAUUCAUUAAGCAUUUUGUAUACCUUAUGUACAAUCAAUAUUUCUUAUGUAUGAUAUAUAUCUAAUCAAACAUUCUUUCUCUAAAUUUAAAAAUUCUGCAACUUUUUAAUACUCUGAUAUUAAUUUAUUUCUUCUGGUACUAGGGAUUGAACCAAGGGGUGCUUUACCACCAAAGCUGCAUCCCUAAUCCUUGCUAUAUAUAUAUUUUUUUGAGAUAGGGUGUCACUAAAUUUUUGAGGGCCCUCCUCAGGAGUGACUUGAUGUAUAAUCUCUUUUUUUAAAAGAUGAAGGAGGAAAGCAGAUUGGCAUGAUUGUGGAUAAAAAUUUAAAACAGCAAGGUACUGAUUUCUAUCAGAAAUUAUUAGUUUUCAUAAUAAAUAAAAGUGAAACUUCAUUUUACCCUGCUGCUGUCACUAUAUAGCAGGCAUUUCUUUUCUCUCUUUAAAUUAUCUGUGUGUGUGGGAAAACUCAAUGCCAUUACAUGAAUUUUUAAAGAUUAAAGAAAAAUUGUUGAGGGCCUUGCUAAGCUUUUGAGGCUGGCCUUGAACUUGCGAUCCUUCAGCCUCAGAAUCCCAAAUCCCUGGGAUUCUGUGUGCACCACUGCACCUGAUGGUAUAUUCAUUUCUUAAGUGCUGUGAACACCAUAGAGGAGGCAGAACCUCAUAGAGGAUAAUGAUUCCUAUUGUUUUUUGGACAUAUUCCAGAGCGGUUCUGAUGUGGAAUCAUCUUUCCUUCAGUGGAGACGAGUGUUGGAUAGAGGUGCUGGAUAGAGGUGGAUAGAAGUGCUGCUGGGCCACUUGCCAUUAUAACAGAAUAUUUGCUACCUAAAUCUCAUGAAGUUGGAUUGAAACUCCACCUGGUCUGGAAGGAGGAGGGGUCGAGGGUGAUGGAUGAACUCAAGGGAAAGAGAAAGUAUAAUAAGGUAGAGGAGAAGACAGUCCGUGUCCAGGUAAGGACAUGACUUUUGAGGUUGACCUUCCCUGCUUUGUGUACUGAAGUUCUUCAGCUCAGAUUUUCCUGGAAAAUCUUAUUUUUGACUAGGAAAAUAUGUUUGGGCAUCCCUUGCUGCUACUAGUCACCCAGAUAGUUAAAGUCAGUGAAGUAGAUUUUUAGAAAAAAUCGAGAGAUAAAAGAGUAAAGUGGGAGCAGGGUGGUGACACCAUCUUUGGAUCAGUUGAGCAAAAGAGCACUAGAAAGAUCUUAAAAGGUACCUGGAAGGAUUAGGUUAGAGGACAGGUGUGGCCAAUGGAGGCAGAGCAAGGAUCCUGCAAAGGGAAGCACAAGGGGAUGAGGAGCCCUGAGAAGGCAGGAGAGGUGAGUGCUGGGUCAGCACUGUCUGGGGAGAGCUGCUCACAAGUGGGUCGAGGGAGGUCACUCUUCCUUGGAGCCUGGGAAGGCAGGAGGCCCUGGUUACUCUUGGAGCCUUGCCAUGAGCCCAUGUUGAGCCCUGUCUUAACUGGCCAACUUAGCGAGGGUCACUGGGAGAUGGCCUUGCCCAGUCCUGCUGAUUCUGAGCUCCUCUUCCCUUCCUCAUCUCCCUCCAGCAUGAUAACCCAUAUGAUGCAGGCUGCAGAAGAAACUGUUUCAUCAUUCUCUGUGCACCCUUGGGACCCAAGUACAUGUCAGAGGCUUCUGUGUGCCUUCAGGUGGAGCAGGGCACCACCUGGGGGCCAACAUAACAUCUUAAAGACCUCCUUGGGCCCAGGUGUGCAACUCAGGCCCUCCCAAGGUUUGGCAAUUCUGCACCCUUACACAAGGCCAGUGCUGCAACAUCCCACCCUGUGAUGCCUGGUUGUGAGCCCUACAUCAAGGUCUCUCAGGCCUGAGCCCUCACUGAGUCCCCUGUUAGGGCUGCCAUGACCCCACAGGUAUGUAUUUCUUAUAAAAUAUAUUUUUUGUUGGUUUUUAUCACUUCUCUGUCUGUUUGUUCUACGUUCAGAGAAGCAAGUUUCCUGUGUGUGUGGUGAGGCUAUGAGGGUCUGGUCAGAGCCCUCCUGGAAGGGAAGAUCCUUUCUCUCUGGAGACUCAAGCUCAGGAACCAACACUAUUUGGCUUUUUGACCUUGGGAAGACACUUAGAAUUUCUCUCAUCCUUAAAAUAUGGCAACAGUAAUAAUUACAGUGACUGACCUGUCUGACUUCCUGGCAAGGGCUGCAGAUGAGAGGAGAGAAAAUUGACCAACCUGGAAAAUACCCAAUGCACCUCAACUACUCCAAAAUAUAGAAAUGGAACUUAUUUAUUAGUAGUAGUUAUAAUUGUGUGUGCACAUGUGUGUAUUAUUUAGGAGUGUGUGUGUGUGUUUGUGUGUG